AUGGUCGACAGCCUCCACCUCGCCGGCGAAGAGGAGCAAGAAAGGGGGCAAGGACCCCAGCUCGUAGAUUCGCUUCUCUUUCUGCAACUCCAUCCAUUGCUCGACACGGUGGCGGUAGUUCCCCGAGCGCCAGCGCCGGAGGUCGAUGACCAUGACGCCGGUGUUGAAGUAGCAGGGCGCGCGGCGGCGGCCCGCGAAGACGCGCUCGCCGAGGUCCGGGUCGGACCAGAAGGCGUCGGUGAAGUAGCGGGAGAAGUUGGCGUGGCAGUACUCGGGCGCGGCGACGACGGCGGCGGCGGGCAGGCGCGUCUCCCAGAGGCGGCGCACGUUGUCGACGGCGAGCACGUCCGAGUCGAGGUAAAUGGCCCGCGGCACGCACUUGGGGAGCAGGUCGGCGAGGUAGUUCCUGGCGUAGUUGAGCGGCGCCUCGAGCGCGGCGCGCACCGAGGCGGAGAUGAGCCCCGUGACGGCGUCGGCGCGGAACGGGUAGAUCUCGAACCGCAGCGACGGGAAGGAGGCGGCGAGCGCGCUCCGGAGCUCGCCCACCCCGGGCUCGGGGCCGUCCGCGGCGAGGAAAUGGAAGAAGAGCGACUCCGGGCAGGAGGCGUGCUUGAGCAGCGAAUAGAUGGCGGCCAUGGAGCCCCGGAGGUAGUGCGCGUCGAGCGUCAUCGCGAUGUGGACGAGCCCCGGGUCGCACACCCCCGCGCCGGCCACCGCCGCCGGGCAGCCCUCCCCGUUCCGGUACUCGGGGGCCUCCGCGAACCUCGGCAGCGCCCCCUCCGCCCCCGCCCCCGAUGCGGCCAACAACAACAAGAAGGCCGCCAGGACCGCCAGCCCGGCCCGCAUCGCCGGCGCGGCCGCGGCCAUCGCCCCCGCCGGCGCCGGCUAGGGCUAGGGCUCCCCCUCUUUCUCUCCCUCCCUCCCCCCUCCUCUCUCUCUCGUCCGGUGGGAACGAGGGGGGCCUGGGUCGGGCUCGCUCUUCCUCUCUCUCUCCUCUCUCUCUGGUUGGGUUGGGGAGGGGAACGAAGUGGUCGGCGUCUGUUCCAACCAAUCCCUCCUUGGCUCCUCCCGUCGCUCGUUGGUAUGGAAUGGAUCCCCCGAACUCCGAUGGUUUGUUUUCCGGGGGGCGAUAUAUAUGUGGCGCUACCAAUAAAGCCCCGUGUUAUAUACGCGGGUGGGGCCCCAAGCGCGCUCGGGCUCGGGAUGACGCGCUAA
rnacentral:rRNA from 1 species